ACAAUGAUGACUUGCAUGUUAUAGAUUUGUGAUUAAAACUUAAAAUUUCACGAAUCUAUAAUAUGCAAGUUAUCACUGC
rnacentral:miRNA from 1 species